UAACUUGUGAAGUUGGAAACACGGAUUAAUUAGAGGAAAACGCGACGAAGAAGAAGCAAAUCCUGGAAGAGAGAAACACGCUUACUUUUCAAUUUUCAAAUUUUAUGUUCCUCUGGUUGACCGAUACUCAACCAAAUCCAAAUAACUGAGGAUUCAACAAACUGAACAAAGAGGACGGAGUAACAACCUUCCUUCUCAAUUAACCAAUUAGAAUAAGGGGGGAAAGUAGAGGGCUUUUCGUUUUUCCCCAACUCUAUUUCUCCAAAAAAAAUUGGCCAAGUCAAACAAGGAAGAAUUCCAGCACCAUUGUAACUCUUACAAAGCAAAGCAAUUACCUUUACAGGCCGCUUAGUUCGUCUUCUUCUUCUUCUUCGAAAUCGUGAGCAGGAGAGAGAGAGAGAGAGAGAGAGAGAGAGAGAGAGAGAGAGAGAAGGAUCUGAGAGGUGACAAACAACUUCUUUCUGAGCUGAAAUUAAUGGCGGACAGUUCAGAACAGAGAGGGGGUGAUGAAGUACGGGGGUUGAGUUGGAUGCGACCUAACUCGGGGUGGGGGAAGAGCUAUGACUCGCUCCUUCACCUCAACUCAGAUCGUUUUUGCUUCUUUCUUUCUCUUCUUCUUCACUUUCUUUCUUUCUUCCUUGUUUCUUUUCAACAGUAACCAGUUUACCAGCUUCGCUUGCAAAAGGAUUUUUUCAGUUAUUUAUAUAAUUAUGGCAAGAAUUUAAGGAGUUAAAUUCCAGGUUCUGUAUUUAAUUAAUUUCCUUUUCGAACCAAUUAAUUAUUAUAAUGUUAUCAUUUUAUGGAAAUUUUGUAU
rnacentral:lncRNA from 1 species